GGAACAAGAACUAUAAAGAAGAUAUCUGAGGAUCUGUUUUGGGAGACUUAUUAACAGAAGAUGUGCACAGAACUACAUGAGGACAAACAUAAAUACACCAUUUGGAGUGGGAAAGUAUCUGGAGGACUCUCAUUCAGGAGAACCCAUUUCUAACAGUCAGGAAGUAAGAAUAAAAGUACUUAACCAUGGGAGGAAACCUACCUGCUCCAAUUUCAUUUCCAACGCUUGGAAUAAUAUCAUCAUCUAGACAAUCUGUGCUGACCAGGAGCUCAGUCUCUGCAUCAAAGGAAGGUGUUCAGAGCCAUUAGGUACAAGAACUCCAGCAGAUGGUUGCAGUGGUCCUCAGUGGAUAUUCUCCGGAGGUCUCCAGUCAGUCCAUCCGAGUUCAGGUUCAUCUCUUAGCCAUUAAAUAAUUCCCCUCAGUGCCUUCAAGUUAAUUCUAUCAGCACAAGCUCUUUGUUUACACAAUUAUUCUGGAUCUAUUUGUUCUUUGCUUUAGUUGUAUAUAAUCAUGUAAACUGUGUAUAAGAUGCCACCAUUUUUCUUUCACCCAUUUUGCACAGGUGCAGAGACCAUAUGAAACACAAGGCAAGUUCAGCUGGGUGUGUAAGAGCCAGCUAAAAUGGCCUCCGUUUAUGGGCCUGCCUACUGCAUAACGGGAAAAAUUCGUCACUCGGUGUUAAAACAGACAUGUAACAAACCUGCGCUAAACCCUGCGCUCAGUCCCACUGAGGGAACGCGAGGAAAGCACCGAAGGACAAUUACUCUUAAUACGAAAAAAGGCUCUUGGAGAGCAGAGCGUGGGCCUCUCUGUUCCACCUGUACGCAACACAGCACCAUUGCUUUCAGGUAUCAUGCUGGGAAAAAAACGUUAAAUUAUUCUUUACUGCUAGGCCCGAGGAGGAAAUCCCUUCUUUGCACAAAAUGGAACCCCAAUGCUAUUUUGGGCCUCUCUGUAAUAUUACUUUGGGCCUACUACUCAAACCCAGUAAUAGAAACUGGCUAACAGUUCCAAGGUUUCACACCAAAAAAGCACAGGAAAAAAAGUGUUGUUUUUUUUUUAAAAAAGAUGAAUCGAUGGUGAGAUAUGGGAAUACAGACAUAGUUUUUGAGGCCCACUGACUGCUGCUACCACAAAAAUGUAACCUGGGAGUCUAGCUCACUUAUUUAAUCUCUGUGCCAAUUUAAUCACAUUCUGCCCUAAAACACCCGGUGUGAUUACAGAGCGGUGGUGUCGGCCUCGGGGUGCCAGCCUGUGCCCGGCGUGGCAGCUUUUGCAGAAGAGAUGUGACUAUUUUUUUGGUCAUAUGAUGCCCAUACAUCUGUAAAUAAGUGUGAUUACAAUUUGACAUGGCUGGGAACUAAAUUCACGAGGAACUAAAUAAUAAAUGUGUCUUCCAACUGCUGGUUUAGACUAA